AGAGUUUGAUCCUGGCUCAGGAUGAACGCUGGCGGCGUGCUUAACACAUGCAAGUCGAACGAAGCACCUUGAUUUGAUUCUUCGGAUGAAGAUCCUGGUGACUGAGUGGCGGACGGGUGAGUAACGCGUGGGUAACCUGCCUCAUACAGGGGGAUAACAGUUAGAAAUGAUUGCUAAUACCGCAUAAGACCACAGCACCGCAUGGUACAGGGGUAAAAACUCCGGUGGUAUGAGAUGGACCCGCGUCUGAUUAGGUAGUUGGUGGGGUAACGGCCUACCAAGCCGACGAUCAGUAGCCGACCUGAGAGGGUGAUCGGCCACAUUGGGACUGAGACACGGCCCAAACUCCUACGGGAGGCAGCAGUGGGGAAUAUUGCACAAUGGGGGAAACCCUGAUGCAGCGACGCCGCGUGAGCGAUGAAGUAUUUCGGUAUGUAAAGCUCUAUCAGUAGGGAAGAAAAUGACGGUACCUGACUAAGAAGCACCGGCUAAAUACGUGCCAGCAGCCGCGGUAAUACGUAUGGUGCAAGCGUUAUCCGGAUUUACUGGGUGUAAAGGGAGCGUAGACGGAGUGGCAAGUCUGAUGUGAAAACCCGGGGCUCAACCCCGGGACUGCAUUGGAAACUGUCAAUCUGGAGUACCGGAGAGGUAAGCGGAAUUCCUAGUGUAGCGGUGAAAUGCGUAGAUAUUAGGAGGAACACCAGUGGCAAAGGCGGCUUACUGGACGAUGACUGACGUUGAGGCUCGAAAGCGUGGGGAGCAAACAGGAUUAGAUACCCUGGUAGUCCACGCCGUAAACGAUGACUACUAGGUGUCGGGUGGCAAAGCCAUUCGGUGCGGCAGCAAACCCAAUAAGUAUUCCCCUUGGGGAGUAGGUUGCCAAGAAUGAAAUUCAAAGGAAUGGAGGGGGACCCCCCCAAGCGGUGGAGCAGGUGGUUUAUUUGGAAGCAACGGGAAGACCCUUCCCUCCCCUUGCCUUCGGAAUGCCCGGGGAGUAAUUUCCCCUUUCUUUCGGGCCAUUCGAGCCAGGGGGUGCAAGGUGUUGUUCAGCUGGUUUCGUGAGAUGUUGGGUUAAUUCCCCCAACGAGCCCACCCCUUUUCUUUAGUAGCCACCAAUUAGGAUGGGCACUCUAGAGAGACCGCCAGGGAUAACUUGGAGGAAGGUGGGGAUGACGUCAAAUCAUCAUGCCCCUUAUGGGCAGGGCUACACACGUGCUACAAUGGGGUCAACAAAGGGAAGCAGAGUCGCGAGGCGGAGCAAAUCUCAAAAAUAACGUCUCAGUUCGGAUUGUAGUCUGCAACUCGCCCACAUGAAGCUGGAAUCGCUAGUAAUCGCGAAUCAGCAUGUCGCGGUGAAUACGUUCCCGGGCCUUGCACACACCGCCCGUCA
rnacentral:rRNA from 1 species